GAUGAACGCUGGCGGCGUGCCUAAUACAUGCAAGUCGAGCGAACAGACGAGGAGCUUGCCCCUCUGACGUUAGCGGCGGACGGGUGAGUAACACGUGGAUAACCUACCUAUAAGACUGGGAUAACUUCGGGAAACCGGAGCUAAUACCGGAUAAUAUAUUGAACCGCAUGGUUCAAUAGUGAAAGACGGUUUUGCUGUCACUUAUAGAUGGAUCCGCGCCGCAUUAGCUAGUUGGUAAGGUAACGGCUUACCAAGGCAACGAUGCGUAACCGACCUGAGAGGGUGAUCGGCCACACUGGAACUGAGACACGGUCCAGACUCCUACGGGAGGCAGCAGUAGGGAAUCUUCCGCAAUGGGCGAAAGCCUGACGGAGCAACGCCGCGUGAGUGAUGAAGGUCUUCGGAUCGUAAAACUCUGUUAUUAGGGAAGAACAAAUGUGUAAGUAACUAUGCACGUCUUGACGGUACCUAAUCAGAAAGCCACGGCUAACUACGUG
rnacentral:rRNA from 1 species